GGUGACACAGGUCCUCUGGCUCUUCCAUGGGGUGCAAGGCCUGGCUCAGGCGCCCACUGUAGGUCAACCCAUGGCAGAAGAUUUGUUUGCAAUCAGACAGUUCAGUUCCCAUGCCUCACAUGAAUAAGAAGGUGGCGCACCCGGAACAUUUCAUAGUACCUAGGCUUAGGUUUAAGAUAUGACCUUUGUGAUCACUAGGUCUUUGGCGUUCUAACGCUUGGAGUAAUAAUUUGGGUAUUUUAUCAUAAAAAUUACCCUUUCUC
rnacentral:lncRNA from 1 species